rnacentral:rRNA from 1 species
CCUACGGGAGGCAGCAGUAAGGAAUAUUGGUCAAUGGACGCAAGUCUGAACCAGCCAUGCCGCGUGAAGGAUUAAGGUCCUCUGGAUUGUAAACUUCUUUUAUUUGGGACGAAAAAGGGCCUUUCUAGGUCAACUGACGGUACCAGAUGAAUAAGCACCGGCUAACUCCGUGCCAGCAGCCGCGGUAAUACGGAGGGUGCAAGCGUUAUCCGGAUUCACUGGGUUUAAAGGGUGCGUAGGCGGGUAGGUAAGUCAGUGGUGAAAUCCUAGAGCUUAACUCUAGAACUGCCAUUGAUACUAUCUAUCUUGAAUAUUGUGGAGGUAAGCGGAAUAUGUCAUGUAGCGGUGAAAUGCUUAGAUAUGACAUAGAACACCUAUUGCGAAGGCAGCUUACUACGCAUAUAUUGACGCUGAGGCACGAAAGCGUGGGGAUCAAACAGGAUUAGAUACCCUGGUAGUCCACGCCCUAAACUAUGAUUACUCGACAUUUGAGAUACACAUUAAGUGUCUGAGCGAAAGCAUUAAGUAAUCCACCUGGAAGUACGUCCGCAAGGAUGAACUCAAAGGAAUUGACGG